rnacentral:rRNA from 1 species
AUGAACGCUGGCGGCGUGCCUAAUACAUGCAAGUCGCGCGAACAGACGAGGAGCUUGCUCCUCUGACGUUAGCGGCGGACGGGUGAGUAACACGUGGAUAACCUACCUAUAAGACUGGGAUAACUUCGGGAAACCGGAGCUAAUACCGGAUAAUAUAUUGAACCGCAUGGUUCAAUAGUGAAAGACGGUUUUGCUGUCACUUAUAGAUGGAUCCGCGCCGCAUUAGCUAGUUGGUAAGGUAACGGCUUACCAAGGCGACGAUGCGUAGCCGACCUGAGAGGGUGAUCGGCCACACUGGAACUGAGACACGGUCCGGACUCCUACGGGAGGCAGCAGUAGGGAAUCUUCCGCAAUGGGCGAAAGCCUGACGGAGCAACGCCGCGUGAGUGAUGAAGGUCUUCGGAUCGUAAAACUCUGUUAUUAGGGAAGAACAAAUGUGUAAGUAACUAUGCACGUCUUGACGGUACCUAAUCAGAAAGCCACGGCUAACUACGUG